rnacentral:rRNA from 1 species
UACAGAGGUCCCAAGCGUUGUUCGGAUUCACUGGGCGUAAAGGGUGCGUAGGUGGCUUGGUAAGUUUGAUGUGAAAUCUCCGGGCUUAACCCGGAAAUGGCAUUGAAUACUAUUGAGCUGGAGGUUUGGAGGGGGGACUGGAAUUCUCGGUGUAGCAGUGAAAUGCGUAGAUAUCGAGAGGAACACCUGAGGUGAAGACGGGUUGCUGGGCUGACACUGACGCUGACAGCGCGAAAGCCAGGGGAGCAAACGGG